rnacentral:rRNA from 1 species
GAAACACGGACCAAGGAGUUCAACUGGAAUGCGAGUCGUAGAGUUAUUAAACUCAAAUCGGCGAAGCGAAAGCAAAUUUUGCGCGAAUCUUUUUUAUAAGAUGCAGCGCGGGCUGAUAAAGUAUGCUACGUAGAGCUUGCUGUGCGUGCACCUGCUAAUUUUUUAGCAGGACUUAUCAAGCUAAAGAGCAAUUUAGUUGAGACCCGAAAGAUGGUGAACUAUGCUCGGACAUGGUGAAGCCAGGUGAAAACUUGGUGGAAGCUUGCGUUGUGCGGAACUGACGUGCAAAUCGUUACCGCCUGACCUGAGUAUAGGGGCGAAAGACUCAUCGAACCAUCUAGUAGCUGGUUCCCUCCGAAGUUUCCCUCAGGAUAGCUCGAUAAUAUAACCGAGUAACACAAGGGUAAAGCAAUGAGACGCGGUAUCUGUGGGUCUUAUUUAAAUGACCUCGGCCUUCUCUCAAACUUUAAAUCUGUGCGAAAACAUAUUUGUUUACUUAAAAGCAUAUUUUAUGCGUGAAACUAUGUUUCAUAUCUAACAAUUCGUAGUGGGCCAUUUCUGGUAAGCAGAACUGGCGAUGAGGGAUUCAACCUGACGUUUUCAAGAUAAGCCGGGCUUAAUCAUAUCUGCUCCAACCUUCCGAUAAACGCGA